GCCGGAGUGGCGGAAUGGUUUACGCGCACGACUCAAAAUCGUGUGACCUUACGGUCAUGUGGGUUCGACUCCCUCCUCCGGUA
rnacentral:tRNA from 1 species